rnacentral:rRNA from 1 species
CGGAGGGUGCAAGCGUUAAUCCGGAAUCACGUGGGUUUUAAAAGGGUUCGUAGGCGGUUUUAUAAGUCAGGGGUGAAAGCAUGCAGCUUAACUGUAUAAUUGCCUUUGAUACUGUAGGACUUGAAUAAGGUUGAGGUUGGCGGAAUGUGACAUGUAGCGGUGAAAUGCUUAGAUAUGUCAUAGAACACCGAUUGCGAAGGCAGCUGACUGGGCCUUUAUUGACGCUGAGGCACGAAAGCGUGGGGAGCGAACAGGAUU